GAUGAAGAACGUAGCGAAAUGCGAUAAGUAAUGUGAAUUGCAGAAUUCAGUGAAUCAUCGAAUCUUUGAACGCACAUUGCGCCCGCCAGUGUUCUGGCGGGCAUGCCUGUUCGAGCGUCAUUUCAACCAUCAAGCCCCAGGCUUGUGUUGGGGACCUGCGGCUGCCGCAGGCCCUGAAAACCAGUGGCGGGCUCGCUGUCACACCGGGCGUAGUAGAUUUUAUCUCGCUCAGGGCGUGCUGCGGGUUCCGGCCGUUAAAGAGCCUUUUUUACCCAAGGUUGACCUCGGAUCAGGUAGGAAUACCCGCUGAACUUAAGCAUAUCAAUAAGCGGAGGA
rnacentral:misc_RNA from 1 species